rnacentral:rRNA from 1 species
UACGGAGGGUGCGAGCGUUGUUCGGAAUUACUGGGCGUAAAGCGCGUGUAGGCGGAUCGUCAAGUCAGAUGUGAAAGCCCCAGGCUUAACCUGGGAACUGCAUUUGAAACUGGCGGUCUUGAGUACGGGAGAGGGAAGCGGAAUUCCUAAUGUAGAGGUGAAAUUCGUAGAUAUUAGGAGGAACACCGGUGGCGAAGGCGGCUUCCUGGACCGAUACUGACGCUGAGACGCGAAAGCGUGGGGAGCAAACAGGAUUAGAUACCCCCGUA